AAUGCUCAGCUGAGGCAUUGCAGGUGUGGCUGCUGUAUCACAUGUAGGUCAGUAGGUGGCAGAAAGGAGGGAGGUCAUGUCUGUACUCAGUAUUCUGACCUAUGAACAUCUGAAUGAUUACUAGCCUAAAAUU